rnacentral:rRNA from 1 species
GACGAACGCUGGCGGCGUGCCUAAUACAUGCAAGUAGAACGCUGAAGAGAGGAGCUUGCUCUUCUUGGAUGAGUUGCGAACGGGUGAGUAACGCGUAGGUAACCUGCCUUGUAGCGGGGGAUAACUAUUGGAAACGAUAGCUAAUACCGCAUAACAAUAGGUGACACAUGUCAUUUAUUUGAAAGGGGCAAUUGCUCCACUACAAGGUGGACCUGCGUUGUAUUAGCUAGUAGGUGAGGUAACGGCUCACCUAGGCGACGAUACAUAGCCGACCUGAGAGGGUGAUCGGCCACACUGGGACUGAGACACGGCCCAGACUCCUACGGGAGGCAGCAGUAGGGAAUCUUCGGCAAUGGGGGCAACCCUGACCGAGCAACGCCGCGUGAGUGAAGAAGGUUUUCGGAUCGUAAAGCUCUGUUGUAAGUCAAGAACGAGUGUGAGAGUGGAAAGU